rnacentral:rRNA from 1 species
UACGUAUGGGGCAAGCGUUGGUCGGAUUUACUGGGCGUAAAGGGCGCUUAGGCGGCGCGUAAAGUCGGACAUGAAAUCAUUGGGCUUAACCCAAUGGCUGUGCCCGAUUCUUGCGUGCUUAGAGUGCGGGAGAGGCAAUCGGAAUUCUCGGUGUAGCGGUGAAAUGCGUAGAAAUCGAGAGGAACUCCAGUGACGAAGGUGGGUUGCUGGACCGCCACUGACUAUGAGGCGCGAAAGCUAGGGGAGCAAACGGG